rnacentral:pre_miRNA from 1 species
UUAACUCAAAUUUGUAUAGAGUUACGUUUGCUUACGUUUGCCGCUAGGGGCGCUGUUGCAACUCCAUACAAAUGUGAGUUA